UGGUCAAGUUAUUAAGGGCGCAGGGCGGAUGCCUUGGCACUAAGAGCCGAUGAAGGACGCGAUAAGCUGCGAUAAGCUUCGGGGAGUUGCACGUAAACUUUGAUCCGAAGAUUUCCGAAUGAGGAAACUCACUUAGAGUAAUGUCUAAGUAUCAUUAAGUGAAUACAUAGCUUAGUGAGGGGAACCCGGGGAACUGAAACAUCUAAGUACCCGGAGGAAAAGAAAGAAAUUCGAUUCCGUAAGUAGCGGCGAGCGAACGCGGAACAGCCCAAACCAGUGAAGUUUUCUUCGCUGGGGUUGCGGACAUAUCACAAACAAGAGGUCAUCGUAAACGAAGAGAGUUGGAAAGCUCCGCUAUAAAGUGUAAUAGCCACGUAGUUGAAACGAUAAUUCUUUAGAUAUGAUCCAGAGUACCACGGGACACGUGAAACCCUGUGGGAAGCAGGAGGGACCAUCCUCCAAGGCUAAAUACUACUUAGUGACCGAUAGCGCAUAGUACCGUGAGGGAAAGG
rnacentral:rRNA from 1 species